rnacentral:lncRNA from 1 species
AGAAAGUAUGAAACUGGAAAAAAAAAGUUGGUAGGGUGGCUUUUCUAAGAGAGAAAGAUUUUUUGUCUUGGCUUAGGUUUAGAGAGGUGAGUAAAUGGUAUUUCGACAGAACUUUUGGGGGCUAGGAAGCAUGAAAAAUGAGUGAGGAUAAUGCUCUAUUUAUAGGGGAAGCAAAUGGGUUGAAGUGGGUGGACCAAAGGGUCCUUUGUGUAAAAAACAGGGUCAUUUUCUGCUUUCUGCGCAGGUGUAACCGGUUACAUGAUUUGGGUAACCGGUUACAUAGUCCCAAAAAUGGCCAAAAAUUCAGUUUUUGGUUUGUGUAACCGGUUACAAGAUUUGGGUAACCGGUUACAUAAUUUUUUUAUUUUUUUUAGAAAUAAUGAAUGUAUGCAUGUGGAGUAGGGUCAUGGAUCAAAUGAAAAUUGUAUCGGGGUAGGACAAAAUUGGGGU